CAUGGAGAAGCCAAAUAUGUAGGAAAGGCAUCCUCUUCUUAACUCAGACUGCUGAGUCCCUAAUUACCAGCUGCAGACCACCAAUAAGGGUAAUUCCGGGUUAAGGAUGAAGAAGAGAUGUCAUGAUGAGUUAGAAAAUCUCUUGACUCAAUGUGGGAGGCUGGGUGGCAUUCUCUGCCAGGGGCCUGCAUUCUUAGCGCCACUCUGCCCUGGCUAAUCCUGCUACUAGGGCAAGUCUCUUCAGUCUUGAGGCUUUAUCUUCCAUAUUAACAAAAUGGUGAUGGUGGUAGUCCUAGCUGGUUUGCAAGUUCCUGUCUAAUUGCUUAAUUCUCUUUUUCACCAAGGCAAGUGCCAAGACUGGCUUCUGAGGAGUACAGGGGUGGCCUAGGACCCAAACUAGCCUAUUUGGUAAUGCAGAUGUGAUUCAUUAGCAUCACCACCUCCAUCACACAGCAUUUGCCAUUCUUUUGUUAGAUCCAGUGCAGAAUGCCCUGUGUAUUUUGUCCAUAGUGUUUCCAGCCUAGCCUGGGAAGUCGAUACACGGCAUUCACAUUCUGUUUGCCAUAACAUGUGCCAAUGGCAUAUGUUGUGAAAUAAUUCCUGGUUCCUCACUGUAUCUGGAUUAGGUGUCAGGAUGCUUAAUUUCAUUGCAGGUGGAGCACCAUGCCUGGACAUAGUGGCCAUGCUUUUAUAUUUGGACUGGACAAAAGGGAUCUUGAUAAGAGUUUAGCCUUGGAAGGACUCCUACAGAGAGCAUCUAUGACCCCCAAAGACAGAUUUCAGGCCUACUAAAAGUCUCUUUCUCAUGAGACACUUACCCAUUGAUCAAAUGACUUCUCAUUCAUGGUGUUAUCAGUCCUGUUACAAUGUUGUUUAACCUGUAACAUGGAUAUAAUAUCUGCCCUGCCUUCAUUUUAGGAUUCUAGGGAAGUGCUUGGAAGAGCACCAAGUGCAAUGCAACUAUAGGGUUAUUAAUAAUGUUGCUAUUAUACAUUUUGAUUGAUGAGAUUUUGACAAUGGGAAGCCCCCUCUCUCCCCACUCUGGCCACAGGACCUGUUCCUAAACGUACAUCUCAGUCCACACUCCAAAGACAUUUCUUGGAAACGCUUCUCAUUGUGGUUCAUUCUAUAAAAAAGUGCUCCGGCUCCAAGUGGGCAUGAAAGUUCAUCACAACAUUUGCCAUCAAUAAAAACCCAAUUCUUUCCAUGUGAAAAGCAUUACUGCUGUCAAAUGGUUAUUGAGUGAUGAUACCUGAAUAAUGGGAAUAUAGGAACCGGAAAAUAUACAAAGGGAAACCUCACUGGGAUGCCAAAUUGUAAAGACAGAAAUGCGAAUAUCUGAGGGAAAUUAGUUAAGCAGAGCACAGCACACAUGCCUUCACCAAGGAGGGAAGAUGAGCAGGCAGGAUCGGUGGAAGGUAGAGAGAAGAAGUGCUGGGUUGAGCAUGGCUUUAUCCACUUCCUGGUGGGCCUGGGGCAAGUCGCUGAGCUAUAUUCAGGCCCAGUUACAUUGUCUGUUAAAUGGGAAUGAUUCUUCCCUCAUGGAUGUGUGUGAGAAACAGAUGGUAUCAAAUGGUGGAAAUGAGAGCAUCAACAAUGCCCUUUUGAUACGUCACAGAAGACGCAAGAUUGCCUGGUUCAAGAUUCGUUAUCCACCAGCAGUUACCAUUGAGAAAUGAUGAUAGAACAUGAAAUACCACUCACAAUGACAGCUAAACCCACAACAUACCUGGGAAUUGAC
rnacentral:lncRNA from 1 species